GGGGAGGUAGUUCAGCUGGUAGAACGUCGGCUUCGCAAGCCGAAGGCCCGGGGUUCGAAUCCCCGCCUCUCCA
rnacentral:tRNA from 2 species